AUCAACUUUCGAUGGUAGGAUAGAGGCCUACCAUGGUGGUAACGGGUAACGGGGUGUUAGGGCACGACACCGGAGAGGGAGCCUGAGAAACGGCUACCACAUCCAAGGAUGGCAGCAGGCGCGCAAAUUACCCAAUCCCGACACGGGGAGGUAGUGACAAUAAAUAACAAUACGGGGUUCUUUAGGAUCUCGUAAUUGGAAUGAGUACAAUUUAAAUCUCUUAACGAGGAACAAUUGGAGGGCAAGUCUGGUGCCAGCAGCCGCGGUAAUUCCAGCUCCAAUAGCGUAUAUUAAAGUUGUUGCAGUUAAAAAGCUCGUAGUUGAAUUUCGGGGUUAGUAGGUUGGUCAUGCCUCUGGUAUGUACUGGUCUCACUGAUUCCUCCUUCCUUAUGAACCGUAAUGCCAUUAAUUUGGUGUUGCGGGGAAUUUGGACUGUUACUUUGAAAAAAUUAGAGUGUUUAAAGCAAGCUAACGCUUGAAUACAUUAGCAUGGAAUAAUGAAAUAGGACGUUCGAUCUUAUUUUGUUGGUUUCUAGGAUUGACGUAAUGAUUAAUAGGGAUAGUUGGGGGCAUUAGUAUUCAAUUGUCAGAGGUGAAAUUCUUGGAUUUAUUGAAGACUAACUACUGCGAAAGCAUUUGCCAAGGAUGUUUUCAUUAAUCAAGAACGAAAGUUAGGGGAUCGAAGACGAUCAGAUACCGUCGUAGUCUUAACCAUAAACUAUGCCGACUAGGAAUCGGGCGAUGUUGAAAAAAUGACGCGCUCGGCACCUCAUGGGAAACCAAAGUGUUUGGGUUC
rnacentral:rRNA from 1 species